CCUACGGGAGGCAGCAGUGAGGAAUAUUGGUCAAUGGACGCAAGGCUGAACCAGCCAAGUCGCGUGAGGGAAGACGGCCCUACGGGUUGUAAACCUCUUUUGUCGGGGAGCAAACCGAACCACGCGUGGUUCUUUGAGAGUACCCGAAGAAAAAGCAUCGGCUAACUCCGUGCCAGCAGCCGCGGUAAUACGGAGGAUGCAAGCGUUAUCCGGAUUUAUUGGGUUUAAAGGGAGCGUAGGUGGAUGGUUAAGUCAGUUGUGAAAGUUUGCGGCUCAACCGUAAAAUUGCAGUUGAUACUGGUAGGCUAGAGUGCAGUAGAGGUGGGCGGAAUGCGUGGUGUAGCGGUGAAAUGCUUAGAGAUCACGAAGAACUCCGAUUGCGAAGGCAGUUCACUGGACUGCAACUGACACUGAGGCUCGAAAGUGUGGGGAGCAAACAGGAUUAGAUACCCGGGUAGUC
rnacentral:rRNA from 1 species